GACGAACGCUGGCGGCGUGCCUAAUACAUGCAAGUCGAGCGGAGCGGCGGACGGGCGAGUAAUGCCUAGGAAUCUGCCUGGUAGAGGGGGAUAACGUCCGGAAACGGGCGCUAACACCGCAUACUAUCAGACGAGCCUAGGUCGGAUUAGCUAGUUGGUGGGGUAAGGGCCUACCAAGGUGACGAUCCGUAACUGGUCUGAGAGGAUGAUCAGUCACACUGGAACUGAGACACGGUCCAGACUCCUACGGGAGGCAGCAGUGGGGAAUAUUGGACAAUGGGCGAAAGCCUGAUGCAGCCAUGCCGCGUGUGUGAAGAAGGUCUUCGGAUUGUAAAGCACUUUAAGUUGGGAGGCGUUACCAACAGAAUAAGCACCGGCUAACUUCGUGCCAGCAGCCGCGGUAAUUC
rnacentral:rRNA from 1 species